GAAAUACAAUAUCCUUUUGAAAGAGAGGGUGCCUUCGGGAACACGGACACAGGUGGUGCAUGGUUGUCAUCAGGUUGUGUCGUAAAGGGUUUGAUUAAGUCCCACAACAUGCAACCUUCGUGUUUAGUUUCCAAGAUUAAGUUUGGAACCCUAACAAGAUUGUCGGUGAUAAGCCAAAGGAAAGUGAGGAUGACAUCAAGUCAUCAUGUCCCUUAU
rnacentral:ncRNA from 1 species